rnacentral:rRNA from 1 species
AUACGGAGGAUCCGAGCGUUAUCCGGAUUUAUUGGGUUUAAAGGGUGCGCAGGCGGCCAUUUAAGUCAGCGGUUAAAUCGUGGGGCUCAACCCCAUUCUGCCGUUGAUACUGGGUGGCUUGAUUGCGGUCGAGGUGGGCGGAACGUGGCGUGUAGCGGUGAAAUGCGUAGAUAUGCCACAGAACGCCGAUAGCGGAGGCAGCUCGCCAGGCCUGCAUUGACGCUCGGGAACGAAAGCGUGGGGAUCGAACAGGAUUAGAUCCCCUGGUAGUCCACGCCGUAAACGAUGGGCGCUCGUCGUCGGCGGCAGACAGUCGGCGGCCAAGCGAAAGCGAUAAGCGCCCCACCUGGAGAGUACGGUCGCAAGGCUGAAACUCAAAUGAAUUGGCGGGG